ACGCUCGACACCUACGGGAGGCAGCAGUGGGGAAUAUUGCACAAUGGGGGAAACCCUGAUGCAGCGACGCCGCGUGAGUGAAGAAGUAUUUCGGUAUGUAAAGCUCUAUCAGCAGGGAAGAAAAUGACGGUACCUGACUAAGAAGCCCCGGCUAACUACGUGCCAUCAGCCGCGGUAAUCUGAGCGGCUGGCAAGGC
rnacentral:rRNA from 1 species